CCUACGGGAGGCAGCAGUGAGGAAUAUUGGUCAAUGGACGAGAGUCUGAACCAGCCAAGUAGCGUGAAGGAUGACUGCCCUAUGGGUUGUAAACUUCUUUUAUAUGGGAAUAAAACGUUCCACGUGUGGGAUUUUGUAUGUACCAUAUGAAUAAGGAUCGGCUAACUCCGUGCCAGCAGCCGCGGUAAUACGGAGGAUCCGAGCGUUAUCCGGAUUUAUUGGGUUUAAAGGGAGCGUAGGGGGAUUGUUAAGUCAGUUGUGAAAGUUUGCGGCUCAACCGUAAAAUUGCAGUUGAAACUGGCAGUCUUGAGUACAGUAGAGGUGGGCGGAAUGCGUGGUGUAGCGGUGAAAUGCUUAGAUAUCACGAAGAACUCCGAUUGCGAAGGCAGUUCACUGGACUGCAACUGACACUGAGGCUCGAAAGUGUGGGUAUCAAACAGGAUUAGAUACCCGGGUAGUC
rnacentral:rRNA from 1 species